CUAGAAUUAUACAAAACAUUCAAAUUUUCUAAAUUCACCAGAUGUUAGAACUGUACCAAACAAUCAGCGUGCCUCUCACAAACAAUCAGCAGCAAGAACAUGUACUACCAACAUAAUAAAAUUAUUGAUCUGACUAGAACUGUACAAACCAAUUCAUACAGUAGAAGCGAGAAGUGUACCAUCUCACAAACAAUUGGGGCUGGCCACAUACAGUAGGCACAAAUUCAGGCUGAAACAGAGUGGUACAAGAGGGGGAGGGGGCUGCUCAAUGAGAUGGGGGAACAGCUUCUCUGACGUGGAUCUUGCUGCAGGCUCCUCCAAGAGUAGUUCGUAGCACUACAGACUGCAGGGAAAUUCUUGACUUGAUCUGAAAUCAAUUCAUAGCACUACAGACUGCACUACACAUAUAUACGAAAAAGGUGCACACAUCAGUUUCAUAUCACAAGAAAUUGGGGCUACAGACAGAACACGAACUAGGCUGAAUCAGAGUACUACAAGAGGGGGGAGGUGGCUGCUCACCUUGAGCUGGGGGAACGACUUCUCUGCCGUGGAUCUUGCGGCCAGGCCCGUCCAGGAGCUCUACUUGGUGCGGCUGCCGGCGGCGACCAACGGAAGGAGUGGCGGCAGAUGGGGAGACGACAUCACGGGGACGUUGGGCGGCUGCUGCGAGCGGCGAUGGACGGAGACUUGCGGGGCGAUGCGUAGAGGCGGCGGCGGACGGCGGCGCGACGGCGCGGAGGCACGCCGGCGACGG
rnacentral:lncRNA from 1 species